AGAUAGUACGGUGGAGCAGGGAUGCCUGAGCACAAGUAGCGAGUUCCGAGUGACUUUAGGAAAUGCUUCCCCCCCUUCCUGGGCAUGCAAACAAGACUCUGCACCUGCACCGCAGUUUGUUCCGGAGAGAAGCCUCGGCUUCGCCCUGCAGGGACGAGGAACUAGAGCAAGAAGCAGCAUUUGAAAAUUAUUCUCAGAAUGAACACAGACUUCCUUAAAGCAACAUGUCCAGGCUGACUUCAGUCCUUCAUGUAGAAGACUCUCCCUGGUCUGAGAAGAGCAACUGUAUUUGAAUUUGCAAUAAAAGAGCUUCCUAUGUAGUUUCAACGAAAAUGAACUACUGGAUUAUCCUGGAGCCAAGGCAAUUACAGGAAAGUAGGUACUGGUGACAGACAGAGAGUCUACUGGGACCCAAUCAGUAUUCUGAGUUGGUGGUGAUCAGAAAACCUGAAAGAGCAUUGGAAGGAAGAAGAAGGCCAAGUUGAACUCAUCAACUCACUUCACUCACCAAUGGAUCAGGUGCUGAAGGCUACCAGUUAAAUGUCACUUAAGGCCUCCCUGUUCUGCGAGAACAAGGGUUGUAUGAACUUGGAAGCUGGAAUGAACCUCAACAUAACCAGAACAAACCAGACACACCAAAGACUCAUUAUUACAAAUAAUCCCUUGAGGUACAGAGAGCUAAUUGAAAAGUAUUUUUAUUAAAUGAUUUCAUGCAUUGAAAUUUCACCAAUUAUCAGAUAUCAAAAUGCAAAAUUAUGUAGUAUAAAGGUGAUAUAACAGUUAA
rnacentral:lncRNA from 1 species